rnacentral:rRNA from 1 species
CAAUAAGCGGAGGAAAAGAAACCAACCGGGAUUGCCUCAGUAACGGCGAGUGAAGCGGCAAGAGCUCAAAUUUGAAAUCUGGCCCCUUUGGGGUCCGAGUUGUAAUUUGGAGAGGAUGCUUCGGGUGCGGCCCCUAUCUAAGUGCCCUGGAACGGGCCGUCAUAGAGGGUGAGAAUCCCGUCUGGGAUGGGCGGCCGUGCCCGUGUGAAGCUCCUUCGACGAGUCGAGUUGUUUGGGAAUGCAGCUCUAAGCGGGUGGUAAAUUUCAUCUAAAGCUAAAUACUGGCCGGAGACCGAUAGCGCACAAGUAGAGUGAUCGAAAGAUGAAAAGCACUUUGAAAAGAGAGUUAAACAGCACGUGAAAUUGUUGAAAGGGAAGCGUUGGCCACCAGACGCGCCCGAGGGGGUUCAGCCGGCACUUGUGCCGGUGCACUCCCCCCCGGGUGGGCCAGCAUCGGUUUGGGCGGUCGCUGAAAGGCUCCAGGAAUGUAGCACCCUCCGGGGUGCCUUAUAGCCUGGGGUGUCAUGCGGCCCGCCUGGACCGAGGCCCGCGCUUCGGCGAGGAUGCUGGCGUAAUGGUGGUCAACGGCCCGUCUUGAAACACGGACCAAGGAGUCUAACAUCUAUGCGAGUGUUCGGGUGUCAAACCCGUCCGCGCAGUGAAAGCGAACGCAGGUGGGAACCCUUCGGGGCGCACCAUCGACCGAUCCUGAUGUCUUCGGAUGGAUUUGAGUAAGAGCAUAGCUGUUGGGACCCGAAAGAUGGUGAACUAUGCCUGAAUAGGGCGAAGCCAGAGGAAACUCUGGUGGAGGCUCGCAGCGGUUCUGACGUGCAAAUCGAUCGUCAAAUUUGGGUAUAGGGGGCGAAAGACUAAUCGAACCAUCUGGUAGCUGGU